rnacentral:lncRNA from 12 species
UUAAUAUUGAAGUGAGACAGGAAAAAAACAAGUGCAGUGUGACUGGGAUACAUCCAAAGAUGGCAGCGCGUUCACACGCAGUGGAUUCUCUCGCUCCCAUCAGAACGGUGUUUUCGUGUUUUUUGUCUUGUGAGUCGCAGUGUUUUUGUACGUCUUCAUCGCGUCUACCUGUCUUUAAGUGCACAUACAGUCGUGAGUUUCUGCUGGAUGUCGGCAGAACCACAUUUUUAGAGUUAAACUCCGUGUACGCGGAAGAGCUGCGGGACCUCGGUCUGCUCCGGAGGCCUACACCAUCACCUUCCCCCACUACUGCAUCUCGCCCACAGCAGAGGCACCACAAGCGGCAUGAGAGGAAGCAAAAGAGGGGUAAGCGCGGAGGUAUCCGGGCUAGGCUAACGGCUAACCCACACAAGCCAGCUAUCCCCAUUAUCGUACUGGUUAACGUAUGCUCUUUGGACAAUAAAUGGGAUUAUAUCCGAUUACUACGCUCAACUCAGAGGACUGUAAGAGACUGUUGUGUUUUUGUGUUCACGGAAACAUGGCUUAGCAACACCGUUUCAGACAUCGCUCUCGUCGCGGAAGGUAAAACCCAUGGCGGCGGGCUUUGUGUUUACAUCAAUGACGUGUGGUACUGCGAUGCUGUUGUGGUCUGCCAACACUACUCACCCCUGGUGGAGUUUAUGAUUAUUAAGUGCCGGCCGUUCUAUCUACUGAGGGUAUAUACAGCCAUUCUGCUCGUUGCUGUAUACAUUCCUCCGAACUCCAACAACAGUAAUAGGAACAAUGCACUAAAUGAACUGUACCAGCACAUCAGUGAGCAGCAGACAGCCCACCCUGAUGCUUUUCUCAUCAUAGCUGGGGAUUUCAACCAUGCAGACUUAAAGAGUGUGUUCCCAAAAAUACACCAACACAUUAACUUUCCAACACGAGGUAAUAACAUUUUAGACUUUGUUUACACCACACCACUCUUCAAGACCGGCCACACUUGAAUUUGUUUGUGAACUGGUUUGGCGACUUUAACGAGGGGGCUGGAGGGGGGCAUUAGCAGGACGGUGAUGUGGUCUGAGGCACCAAGGUGGGGGGG